rnacentral:lncRNA from 1 species
CAUAAUCGAAGGGCUUCCAGCGUAGGGCGUAGGGGGAGAGGCCCGAAGCCCUGGAGACAGCGCCCGAGGGAUGGAGGCCGCGCUCGGCUGCGCUCAGGUCCGGGUGGCUCCGGGAGCUGAGACCCCGCAGGAUGCAGCGGGGGGGGGCCAGGGCCUGAUCCCCUACCCCUGCGAGCCAGGGCCGCCUACGCCCCCACUGCUUCCCACAGGUUUAUGGGACUCCCCAGUACUCUCCAUGUAGAGUCUAAUGUAGAAUCCAGGAGUGCACAGAAAAGUCACUGGAUGACACAGCAAGAGGCAACAUUUUGGAAGCAGAGGGCAACUCUCACUGGAAACCAAAUCUCCUGGCACCUUGAUCUUGGAUUUUACAGCCUCCAGAACUGAUAGCUGGGAGGCAUUACAUAGUCAUGUGCGAGGUCAAAACUGAGUCACCACCACAACCAAGUUCCAGCUGGCAAGAAGAGGAAAAAUAACACAGAGGAGUUAUGACCAGUGUUGUAAGGAUCUGGCCUAGAAAUGGCAUGCAUCUCUUCCACUAAUAUCCUAUUGGUAAAAAUGUAGUCACAUGGGCACACCACCUAUCUGCAUGGAAGGCUGGGAAAUGUUGAUCGGUAGGGCAGCCAUAUGUGUAGGAAGGAGAAAACAGAAUUUGGUGGAUACCUAGUAGUCUCUGCCAUACCCUUGACCAGAAAUUUUUCUUCUAAAGAAUUUAAUUCUAAAAGUUAUAGACAUUCCCAAAGAUAUACCUGCAAGCAUCACAGCUUUGUGUAUAAUUGCAAAAGUUGAAAUCAACAUGAAUGCCCAAAAUAGUGAAUUAUUUAAACAGAUUAUUACCCAUAUUAUGAAGAAAUACUCUGCAACUCUUAAAAAUAAAUGUAAUGUGCCAGGCGCAAUGGGAUAUGCCUGCAGGCCCAGCUACACGGGAGGCCAAGGCAGGAGGAUCACUUGAAAUCAAGAGUUCAAGUCUAGCCUAGACAACAUAGUGAGACUUGGUCUCUAAAAAAGAAAAAAAAAAAUAAAACUGAUGUAAUGAAUAUAUAAUUACAACAAAAGAGGUCUAACACUAUAGUAGAAAAGUUUGGGGCACUCAUCCCAUUCAUAAUUAUUUUACAUUUAAAUUACUGUUCCUACUUAAGUGGUGAGCUUGGUAACCAUUUUCAUAUCAGGUGAUACUGCUGCAGUAAUCAUAGCUGUUUGAAUCAGGAAUAAUCCCAAUCACAUUUUCUCUUAAUCGUUUAUUAUACUGGGCAUUGGGGUUGCAAGAUAAUGCACAGUCCGAGCUCAAUACAUGUCUUCAUGUACCUGUAUGUAAAUCCCACUUUUAUUCUAAAAUUCUUUGAAUAUUUUGUUUCUUGGAACCCAAUGAUCCUAAGAAAAUUAUGUACUUUUACCUGAAAAUUAAAACCAAUAUUUAUAAAAAGUGUAUAUGCAGUAUGAUACCACUUUUAAAAAAAGAUAAAUUUAUAGAAAAAAGUUUAUAUGACUGACAACAAUGUCUCUGAGUGGUAGGAUUACAGUUAAUUUUUAUUUUCUUCAUUCUACUUAUCUUUAUUUUCUGAACUUUCUACAAUGAACAUGUUUUAUUUUUACUUUUGUUAAAAUAAAUAACAUUUAAUUUGACGGAAAAUUCUAAAAAUCAACAUUUGGUAACUUAAAUAUUCAUUGGCACAUGAUUCUGUGCCUGUUUCUGGGGGUCAUUCCCAUGAGAAGAGCAGGUAGAACUUAUGAGAAUAGAGCAGUCGAAAUAUUAUAGGUUUCAUAUUUUACGGCUUUAUUGAAAACAUUGAUAUAUUGAAUAUUCAUAAAUUUUAAUUUAACUUUCUUUUAUAAUCCUUAAUGUGAGGCUAAGGUAUAAGGAGAAAGGAGAUUGGUAAGGAAGUGUGAUACAUAUUGAAUCAGGUGUCAAGGUACCAUUUGUGCCUGGAUCUGACCAAUAGACCAAGGUAAAAAUCUCAAAGAAUGAGACUUGUAAUGAGAAUGCCACAAACUUGAAUACCUUAUGCACAAAACACAAACAUUGUUAUGCAUAAUGUACAUGAACCCUGAAACAAAGAUAAUGAUUUGGACCACCCAACUGAAGUGGCAUGUUAUGUUUUUGGCAUGAACAAAAGAAACAAGAGAGAAAAAAAUCAAAAUAAUUAAAAUAAAUUGUUAGAGAAAAGUUACUUUAAAAAUAGCUAUAACGCUUUGCAAUUUCAGUAACAGUUCUGCCUCUGAUGCAAUGUAAAACAUGUAUUAGACAUUCAGGCUCCACAAUAAAUUUUAAUGAGCACUACAAAUUUAGAAUAUAUAAAAAUAUCAGUAACCUAUGAAUUCAUCAACAUAACUCACUUUUCAGUUAAGUUAGGCUGAGUUGAAAUUCUACUAAGUUUUCCCAUAUUCUUGAUAAAGGCUAAAUUUGAAAUAAUUUAUUUAGAUGACUAAUUGGCAAUUUGAUAGUAGUUACAUUUUAUGUAACACUUGAUAUAAUAACCCAAAUUAAUUAGCUCAAUAUUAUCUUCUGUGGUUUAUUGAUCCAAAAGUACAUAUUUGUUAUGUAAACUUAUACUAUGUAAACUUGAAUUAGUUUUUUGCUUCCUUGAAUUAAUAAAGCCCAUUAAUGCAAAUCUAAGCCUUCAUAGACUUUUCCAAUCCUUAGUUAAAUAUUAAAAACUGAGUAUUGUAGUUAUUUGCUAGGUAUAAAAGGUGACUCAGAGUAGAGAGUAAGAUGUCAGCAAAUAGACAAUAAGAUGUCAGCAAAAGUGCCUCAAAUUUUAACUGCGUCAAGUUAAGGGCAUUGUAAAUACUGUAGUUUUAUGUAGCUUGCAACUUCUACUGAAAUGAGUUUAAUCAUGUCUUUCACAUAGCUGAAGUUUGUGUCA